GUGAGGCCGCGUUCUGCGGCCGACCGGACGAUCGCAACCGUACCCGGACCCCGACAAGACGGUAUUUC
rnacentral:ncRNA from 1 species